AGGAGGAACAACCCCAGUGGCGGCGGCCAGUCUGGAGCCCUGGAUUCAGCUCCCGCAGUAACUACGGAGCUCUCUGUCUGCAGGGCCUGGAGGCUCCGGGGCGGG
rnacentral:pre_miRNA from 1 species